AGCGUACACGGUGGAUGCCCUGGCAGUCAGAGGCGAUGAAGGACGUGCUAAUCUGCGAUAAGCGUCGGUAAGGUGAUAUGAACCGUUAUAACCGGCGAUUUCCGAAUGGGGAAACCCAGUGUGAUUCGUCACACUAUCAUUAACUGAAUCCAUAGGUUAAUGAGGCGAACCGGGGGAACUGAAACAUCUAAGUACCCCGAGGAAAAGAAAUCAACCGAGAUUCCCCCAGUAGCGGCGAGCGAACGGGGAGCAGCCCAGAGCCUGAAUCAGUGUGUGUGUUAGUGGAAGCGUCUGGAAAGGCGCGCGAUACAGGGUGACAGCCCCGUACACAAAAAUGCACAUGCUGUGAGCUCGAUGAGUAGGGCGGGACACGUGGUAUCCUGUCUGAAUAUGGGGGGACCAUCCUCCAAGGCUAAAUACUCCUGACUGACCGAUAGUGAACCAGUACCGUGAGGGAAAGGCGAAAAGAACCCCGGCGAGGGGAGUGAAAAAGAACCUGAAACCGUGUACGUACAAGCAGUGGGAGCACGCUUCGGCGUGUGACUGCGUACCUUUUGUAUAAUGGGUCAGCGACUUAUAUUCUGUAGCAAGGUUAACCGAAUAGGGGAGCCGAAGGGAAACCGAGUCUUAACUGGGCGUUAAGUUGCAGGGUAUAGACCCGAAACCCGGUGAUCUAGCCAUGGGCAGGUUGAAGGUUGGGUAACACUAACUGGAGGACCGAACCGACUAAUGUUGAAAAAUUAGCGGAUGACUUGUGGCUGGGGGUGAAAGGCCAAUCAAACCGGGAGAUAGCUGGUUCUCCCCGAAAGCUAUUUAGGUAGCGCCUCGUGAAUUCAUCUCCGGGGGUAGAGCACUGUUUCGGCAAGGGGGUCAUCCCGACUUACCAACCCGAUGCAAACUGCGAAUACCGGAGAAUGUUAUCACGGGAGACACACGGCGGGUGCUAACGUCCGUCGUGAAGAGGGAAACAACCCAGACCGCCAGCUAAGGUCCCAAAGUCAUGGUUAAGUGGGAAACGAUGUGGGAAGGCCCAGACAGCCAGGAUGUUGGCUUAGAAGCAGCCAUCAUUUAAAGAAAGCGUAAUAGCUCACUGGUCGAGUCGGCCUGCGCGGAAGAUGUAACGGGGCUAAACCAUGCACCGAAGCUGCGGCAGCGACACUAUGUGUUGUUGGGUAGGGGAGCGUUCUGUAAGCCUGUGAAGGUGUACUGUGAGGUAUGCUGGAGGUAUCAGAAGUGCGAAUGCUGACAUAAGUAACGAUAAAGCGGGUGAAAAGCCCGCUCGCCGGAAGACCAAGGGUUCCUGUCCAACGUUAAUCGGGGCAGGGUGAGUCGACCCCUAAGGCGAGGCCGAAAGGCGUAGUCGAUGGGAAACAGGUUAAUAUUCCUGUACUUGGUGUUACUGCGAAGGGGGGACGGAGAAGGCUAUGUUGGCCGGGCGACGGUUGUCCCGGUUUAAGCGUGUAGGCUGGUUUUCCAGGCAAAUCCGGAAAAUCAAGGCUGAGGCGUGAUGACGAGGCACUACGGUGCUGAAGCAACAAAUGCCCUGCUUCCAGGAAAAGCCUCUAAGCAUCAGGUAACAUCAAAUCGUACCCCAAACCGACACAGGUGGUCAGGUAGAGAAUACCAAGGCGCUUGAGAGAACUCGGGUGAAGGAACUAGGCAAAAUGGUGCCGUAACUUCGGGAGAAGGCACGCUGAUAUGUAGGUGAAGCGACUUGCUCGUGGAGCUGAAAUCAGUCGAAGAUACCAGCUGGCUGCAACUGUUUAUUAAAAACACAGCACUGUGCAAACACGAAAGUGGACGUAUACGGUGUGACGCCUGCCCGGUGCCGGAAGGUUAAUUGAUGGGGUUAGCGGUAACGCGAAGCUCUUGAUCGAAGCCCCGGUAAACGGCGGCCGUAACUAUAACGGUCCUAAGGUAGCGAAAUUCCUUGUCGGGUAAGUUCCGACCUGCACGAAUGGCGUAAUGAUGGCCAGGCUGUCUCCACCCGAGACUCAGUGAAAUUGAACUCGCUGUGAAGAUGCAGUGUACCCGCGGCAAGACGGAAAGACCCCGUGAACCUUUACUAUAGCUUGACACUGAACAUUGAGCCUUGAUGUGUAGGAUAGGUGGGAGGCUUUGAAGUGUGGACGCCAGUCUGCAUGGAGCCGACCUUGAAAUACCACCCUUUAAUGUUUGAUGUUCUAACGUUGGCCCGUAAUCCGGGUUGCGGACAGUGUCUGGUGGGUAGUUUGACUGGGGCGGUCUCCUCCUAAAGAGUAACGGAGGAGCACGAAGGUUGGCUAAUCCUGGUCGGACAUCAGGAGGUUAGUGCAAUGGCAUAAGCCAGCUUGACUGCGAGCGUGACGGCGCGAGCAGGUGCGAAAGCAGGUCAUAGUGAUCCGGUGGUUCUGAAUGGAAGGGCCAUCGCUCAACGGAUAAAAGGUACUCCGGGGAUAACAGGCUGAUACCGCCCAAGAGUUCAUAUCGACGGCGGUGUUUGGCACCUCGAUGUCGGCUCAUCACAUCCUGGGGCUGAAGUAGGUCCCAAGGGUAUGGCUGUUCGCCAUUUAAAGUGGUACGCGAGCUGGGUUUAGAACGUCGUGAGACAGUUCGGUCCCUAUCUGCCGUGGGCGCUGGAGAACUGAGGGGGGCUGCUCCUAGUACGAGAGGACCGGAGUGGACGCAUCACUGGUGUUCGGGUUGUCAUGCCAAUGGCACUGCCCGGUAGCUAAAUGCGGAAGAGAUAAGUGCUGAAAGCAUCUAAGCACGAAACUUGCCCCGAGAUGAGUUCUCCCUGACUCCUUGA
rnacentral:rRNA from 1 species